CAGAAACACUGGAAAUCUGUCCCGUCAUUAAGGAAGCAGAUAGCCUCAGUUAGAGGACAGUGACAGCCUGAUUUUAUCCGCCUGUCUGUGAGCCUGACAUCACUGACAGGCUGCACAUCACACACAAACUAAACUUUAUUAAUCCCAAAAGUUACAGCAGCCAAAAACCAUCAACACAACCUCUGACAGAAGAGCUGCAACCAGAACAGCUCAGUAACAUAAACACGAUUAAAACCAAAACCAGAACAAGUUAAAAACACACAAAAAAAUCAAAAAGUGAAAUAAAAAUAAAUACUAGAGUUCAAUAACAAACCUAAACGCCCAGUUAUAAUCAGCUGCUCAGUUUAUGCAGCACAUCAAAUAUUUACUGUAGUUAUGACAGCUGACAUCAUCGGUGUCAUUCUGAACUUCACAUUAAACUGGAGCAGCACAUCUGUGCAGAGCCUCCUUCAUUAAACUCAUUAAUUACUCAUCAGAAACCCGCACAGUCCACGCCGGACAUAACCGGCAGACUUUAUGGGGAGAAAAAAAGAAAAAAAAAUCAACAGCUGGACUGCACACUUUAACUUUACCGCUACAAAAGCGAAGCUGCUGGUUGGAAAUGCAGCUGUGCUCGCGGUGCAGAUGUUUUUUCCCCGGUGGCGGUGUUCUCCGUUCAGACGGACAAACGGCGGCAUCUGGAAAACCGUCAGAGCUCCGGUCUCCAAUCACAGCCGCACAGAUGUGACGUUAGCCUGCUAGCUAGCCCCGUCGGGCCGCCGCCGACGUUAAACUCACCGUUUUCAGUUGACACCUGAGCCCGUUACAGUCCGGCCUCUGACCGAGCGGAGGGCGGCGGGUCCUGCCGGUUCAUCCAGGCCCUGAAGUUUGGGGAGCAUUUUUGAGAAAAAGCUCCUCGCAGCUGAUCUCCGCAGCAGCAGACAGCCACACGUCGCCUUUAAGAGCGACCCAGACAGACGAGCCAGACUUUGGCCGACACAAAAUAAACUAAAAAAAACCCUGAAAACACUCAAAUAUGCUGCUCAUACAUCACUCCUGCUGAAAACUACCGUGUUACAAACAAACAACUAUAUCUGACUGCAGGCUGGGUUUAAAC
ensembl:lncRNA